UUUGGAUUGACACUUUUAUUCUACAAACAACAUCAUACUGGAUUGUGACCUUAGUAGUGAACAUAAUAUUCAGAUUGGAUUCCGAAAGAUUUCCGGAUACAGAUAAAGAUAACAGAUUGGACUCAUAUUUUGACAGUUAAGUUAACAGUAAUAUUUGUGUAAUACCUUUUGUAAACUUUUGUAUAAUAAAUAUUGUUAAAUUUUACUAUUGAUUUGUGUCUUUUGUUGGCUACAAUUUAAAGGCGAUUUCUGGCCGUAACAGAAAUUGGGGGCUCGUCCGGGAGACUGAACAUAUUUUAUUCAAAAUUUGUUUAAUAUUUUUAUUAUAACUAGCCAACAAAAUUCUACAAAAUGGCAUUUGAUGCUGGUAAAUUUUUGAAAACGCCAGACCUGGAGAGUUUUGAUAAUUUAAAGAAAGAGGA
rnacentral:lncRNA from 1 species